GCAGCCAAAAAACCUCCUUUAUGCUUUUCUCUUGAGCAUAGCUGAGCAUACGCAUUUCCGCUAUUCUUCAGCCAUUCUGCUACUUAAAGGCUGGUCUGAUAGCAGUGGUAUCACUUCAUCUGGACUUCAUCACCAAAUCAACAUGCUUUCAACAUCGUCAGCCGAGCUGAUGGUUAUGGAUUUUUUGCCUCCAAUGGGUUGAUAAUGGUAUUUCUAAAACCACGUGGUGGUCUAUGGCUUGGUUUAUCUUGAAUCUUUGAAGAAUUUGUUCUCAGUAUGAUUCACCAUGUAAUGCCGGUGAGGAACUUGUUACAUUUGCUCACAUGACUGGCAACAUGGUGGUAAUGGAGUAACGAUUUGCUACUCUAUAAUUGGUCUUCAAUAUACUGGGAUCUCUAAUUUAACUCAAUGAUAAUGUUCAUUGUCAACAUUUACUAAAGAUUAUGAUCUCAUUUUAAGAUUCUAGUUUUCCAUUUACAUUGUAUAUGAAUUAUAAUUUUCAAGACAAUUAUAUUUAAUAAAAUAUACAUUGUUUGCAACACUUAA